UACGGGGGGGGCAAGCGUUGUUCGGAAUUACUGGGCGUAAAGGGCGCGUAGGCGGCCUACUAAGUCGGACGUGAAAUCCCUCGGCUCAACCGAGGAACUGCGUCCGAUACUGGUGGGCUUGAAUCCGGGAGAGGAAUGUGGAAUUCCAGGUGUAGCGGUGAAAUGCGUAGAUAUCUGGAGGAACACCGGUGGCGAAGGCGGAUCUCUGGGCCGAUACUGACGCUGAGGAGCGAAAGCUAGGGUAGCAAACGGG
rnacentral:rRNA from 1 species